AGCCCUUUAGCUCAGUGGUCAGAGCAGGCGACUCAUAACCGUUUUGUCGUCGGUUCAGGUCUGGCAGGGGCCACCA
rnacentral:tRNA from 1 species